rnacentral:snRNA from 1 species
AUACUUACCUGGCAGGGGAGAUACCAUGAUCACAAAAGUGGUUUUCCCAGGGCGAGGCUUACCCAUUGCACUCCAGAUGUGCUGACCCUUGCGAUUUCCCCAAAUGUGGAAAACUUGACUGCAUAAUUUGUGGUAGGGGGGGACUGUGUUUGUGCUUUCCCCUG